UCCUGCGUAGCUCAGCGGUAGAGCGGGUGGCUGUUAACCACUAGGUCGUAAGUUCGAAUCUUACCGCAGGAGCCA
rnacentral:tRNA from 1 species